AACACAAAUCAUGGCAGGAAUAAGUCAGAACUGGAGGUAGAAAAAACAGAUAACAGAUUAUUGCAAAAAGCUGGGUUAUUGAGGACAAGGGGCUGCAAGACGGCAGCACUGUGGGCAGAAGGGCAAUAAUGGAGCUGUUCACGGACUGGAUGCGGACUGUGAUGGAUCAGCAAGUCAGUCAUGAUGUCGUAACAACCACUAUGCUUCUGCACUUGUCCUUCUGACUUGUAAGGGAGACGUCAACCAAUAAAAGUAAGCACAUGAUGUGAAGGACCAACAUGUACCAGGACAUUGGCCACUUCCUGCUUUUACUGCAUUUACUUCGUUUGGCCGUCUUCCACUGUCACUACUGUUUCCUUGACAACCAAAGCACAGAGUCCUCUCCUUAAGCUCUCUACUACCUGUGACCCCUGAACUGUAUGAAGUACAUCCCUGAACCUGUGGAAUGAAGACGGGUGUUUCAGUCCACUUACUGGACUCAAAGUCAUCCACAUUUAUGACUAAAACUUAAAUGCGA